rnacentral:tRNA from 1 species
GGAUAUAUAUAUAUAGUGGUAGAGUGCAUGCUUAGCAUGCACAAGGUCCUGGGUUCAAUCCCCAGUAUCUCCA